CUGCAGAUAGUAAGGGCUCGGAUUUCUUCUUCCGCCCUGGCGGCCCGGAGACUUCCUCAGAGCCUGUGUUGCCAGGCAGGCCAGCCCUCAUUACUCCGUUUCCCAGGGCCCCGCAUUUUAGUUCUACGACUUUGAAACGUGUUGCCUUCCACGUUCUCCCUGGAAAGAAGCAGGCUAUCAUUAAUGACAGAAUAGAAAACAAAAGACCCUUAAUUUGGCCAUGUAUGAAGCUAUUUCAGAAAUGGGUCCUGCUCUGUUAAGCCUCCGGACAACAGCCACCCCUGCCAACCUCCUGACUGCAAACUCAGGGCGCUGGUGCCACCAGCAGUGAAUAACAGAAUGAGACAGGAGAAAAGGGCUCAAGGCUCCUCAACAGGUCCUUCUUAUUUUUAUUUUGUAGCUGCCCCAAAGCCUUGCAGCCAGCCCAGCUGCACCAGGCACCUCACAGCCUCUUCAGAAGAUGUUUGCUUUGGCUGCAGCAGGCUUUGGCUGCAGCAGGCUUUGGCUGCGGACAUAUCCAGGAUGACUGCCCUGUGGCCCUUCUGGGUGACCCUGCCCCUCUGGAGCCCUUCUCAGUCAGGUGCACAAAGGGCCCUUUCUCUACCUGUGGCCACCUAUAUAAACUACCUCCCCAUACCCUUAGCAGGUUCAGUCUUCUGCUGUUCCCCCUUGCACUGCAGUAUAAGUCCUAAUAGAGCCUCUUCUGCAUGGCAUAUUUUUGCAUACUUGUGAUUUCUAUUUUGAGCAGUGCUUGGUGAGCUGGUAACACUAAGAGCUGGUAACACCAAAUGCCUCUGAUACUGCAAGUGGCCAGAGCCCAGAACGGGUAAGUCUAAAGGCUGCUGGUGCUGAAAGUGGCCAGCAGCUGAGGCUCUUAGUACUAAAGGCAGCUCACAGCCAGAGCAUUGGAGAGCGGCAGAGUAUUGCAGCACCAGCCAUCUCUGGUCUCUGGAAGAAUUCCCAAGACCUGCUGGUAGUUGUAGCCACUAGCAUUCAUAGCUCAGGGCAGUGAACACUAAAAGAGCUACACUGUGCCAAUUAGUGACUUCUGUAUGAAUUGAUCAAGAACCCACAGCCAUUUGUAACAUCUCAGAAGCCUGUACAGGGUCCCUGCCCUUUAGAGGGCCCUGAAGAAGAAGGCAGCCAAUGGUGAUGGUUCUAGUGGUUCAAGAAUUGGCCCAGGCCUGAUUUCUAUCUUAAGAAUCCACAAUAGUCAGUGACAGUAUGAGGAUGAAUGGGGAACAGGUAGGCAGGUGUCCUAGGCAAGGUCUGGAUUAAAGUGGCUUAUAAUUUAUAUCAUAUACCUGGUGGUCAUUUCCUUGAUUCCUGAAUGUAUAAUUGGGGUUGAUGCACUUAGAACAAGUGUAAUACCCACAUGAAGUCCUUGGUUUGUGGGAUAGGGCUGUCAGAGGGGGCAAAGCCAAGUUGAGAGCUCACCACCCCCAGUCAAGGGUGUAGACUAAAAACAACAUUCAUCCUGCAGGCAUGGCCAUUAAUGCAAUGCUGUCCUUCAGCAUCCAAAGGACUCAGGUAGUGGUUCCCGUCACAUCUCCAUUGAGCUCACCUGCUUGGUCUCAGCAGAAACAGGCACAACCUGGCAGUUGGAUGUGACUACCAUAUAUGUGACCAUACAGCCCCGCUGGCAACUGCCUUGCCAGAUGUGGGGUCUGCUGGAGAAGAGGGGCCCCGCUGCAGAUACUGAGCACACAAACACCCAUCAGGCAGAAGAUGCAUUCUCUUCUAAUCCAGUUCUUUUUUUUUGGUACCAGGGAUUGAACUCAGGACCUUGCGGUUGCAACACAGGCGGCAGCACCGCUGAGCUAAAUCCCCAGCCUUCUUCUAAUCCAGCUGGGAGAGGAAGACGCAACAGCUCACAUGGGGUGAACUGGGCACUAGUAUAAUUUGCAGCUUUGCCCAGGAUUAUAACGAAUUUCCUGUCCUCUUUCAUAUUAUAGUUUGAAGAGAUCCAGACUCUUAAUGUCUGCAGGACACAACAAUAUUGUGCUGUAAGGGCCAGUGCAGUGGCCUGGCUCAUCCUUGAAAGCAGGCUUGACACUCACCUCUGCAUCUCAGCUGACAGCCACGGAGCAGUGCUUGCUUCACAACAGAUUGAUGAGGCUGGGACUGCCUAGCUCGGGAGAUCCGUGCCCAAGACCAGACAGCCUCAGUCCUCAUCACUGCUGCCGCCGCCCAGGGACUUCAUGGUGCUGACCGGAGGGUUAACAACAGAAGGUCCCCAGAUGCCCCAGCCUGACAGUGAUGAUUCCAAGGCGGAAGAAGGGAGGGCUGUGCGGACGGCCUGGGCCUCCCUGUAGCACCCAGCACACUGCUGUGAGGACACGGCCUUCCCCAGACCAACCCAAGCAGACAACCCUUACUGCGAGUGCCUGGGAGCCCACGUGCAGCGCAUCAGUGUACAACCCUGCCACCGCGGCGCCCUUCUCCCGCUAGCUGAACACCCCAUUUACCUGGAGGAGACUCCUCUGGAAUCUACCUCCCCUGCCCAGACCUCUCUGUCGGGACAUCGUCUUGUGCCAGUGUGGUUCCUAGAACCAGCUGAGAAGUACACCUAGGAGCACAGAUGGGUAGAGAUCUUUGGCCUCCUCCACAGGACAUGGAAGGGAUCCGUAUCAUGCCGUGGUCAGUCUGGUUGUCCAGUGACUGACAUCCUCGGAGAUGAGAUAAAACAGAUGCACAGUUUCAUCCAUGGACAAAAUCUCAACACUUUAUUCAUCCCUUGGCAGGGAGAGGGGGGCACUGCCCAGUCAGGUGGGGUGGCUGGGAUAUGUGUUGUCUAAAUUCCAGAUAGUAUACACAGCACUGAUCAUGCAGAAACAGGAAGGGAAGCAAUAAGUUAAAAGCCACAUAAGUUAUGAAAAAAUAAUAUAUACUUUAUAUAUCUCAUCCCACUGAGGAUUUGCUCCCUUGGAAACCAAUAAAGAGCCCGAGAGAAAGCAGCAAUCAGCACCCUCUUUGGGGACAUCAGGGAUGAACAGCUGGCCCAGCUCCCUUUGGCCUGAAAGAGUUGGUGGCCCAUCAGCACUGCCAAGGCCUUAGCCCACCC
rnacentral:lncRNA from 1 species